rnacentral:misc_RNA from 1 species
UUUNGUUUGCCCCUUCCCAUCCAGCACUCCUCGCGGGUCGUUGGAGGGCCACACAGUGGUCCCUGUGCUCCUCGAGAGCGUCGUGUCGACGUCGGCUCUCAAGGGCCACGGGGAUCCACUGCUCUCACGGAUGCGGUUUAUGUGGUGGUCGCGUGACAGACGUCACGUCCGUCCACGCAAAAAUUCGGUUUGCCAGAACGAUGUCCGUGCUCGCGUCGGGUCGCCUCGCCCGGCCUGGCGAUCCCGUGCGAUGCCCGGCAUCAGGAAGGAAUGCUACCUGGUUGAUCCUGCCAGUAGUCAUAUGCUUGUCUCA